GGCUCGCAGGCGGUUUCUUAAGUCUGAUGUGAAAGCCCCCGGCUCAACCGGGGAGGGUCAUUGGAAACUGGGGAACUUGAGUGCAGAAGAGGAGAGUGGAAUUCCACGUGUAGCGGUGAAAUGCGUAGAGAUGUGGAGGAACACCAGUGGCGAAGGCGACUCUCUGGUCUGUAACUGACGCUGAGGAGCGAAAGCGUGGGGAGCGAACAGGAUUAGAUACCCUGGUAGUCCACGCCGUAAACGAUGAGUGCUAAGUGUUAGGGGGUUUCCGCCCCUUAGUGCUGCAGCUAACGCAUUAAGCACUCCGCCUGGGGAGUACGGUCGCAAGACUGAAACUCAAAGGAAUUGACGGGGGCCCGCACAAGCGGUGGAGCAUGUGGUUUAAUUCGAAGCAACGCGAAGAACCUUACCAGGUCUUGACAUCCUCUGAGAAUCCUAGAGAUAGGACGUCCCCUUCGGGGGCAGAGUGACAGGUGGUGCAUGGUUGUCGUCAGCUCGUGUCGUGAGAUGUUGGGUUAAGUCCCGCAACGAGCGCAACCCUUGAUCUUAGUUGCCAGCAUUCAGUUGGGCACUCUAAGGUGACUGCCGGUGACAAACCGGAGGAAGGUGGGGAUGACGUCAAAUCAUCAUGCCCCUUAUGACCUGGGCUACACACGUGCUACAAUGGACGGAACAAAGGGCAGCGAAACCGCGAGGU
rnacentral:rRNA from 1 species